UUUUAAACACUCACAUUUGAGAUUUGAAGGUUUGUAAUAUUUCCCUUUUUGUCAUUUUGGGGAGAUUUUUAUUAAGAUCUUUUUUUGAUUAUUUUAGGUAAUGGUUUUUACAAAGGACCAAACAGAAAAGGAAAUAGAUGAAAUCCACAGUAAAUACCGUAAAAAACAUAAGAGUGAAUUUCAGCUUCUGGUGGAUCAGGCUAGAAAAGGAUACAAGAAAAUUGCUGGAAUGUCACAAAAAACAGUAACAAUAACAAAAGAAGAUGAAUCUACAGAAAAGCUAUCUUCUGUAUGCACGGGACAGGAAGAGAAUAUGACCUCAGUAACAAACCACUUUUCUCAAUCAAAGCUGGACUCCCCAGAGGAAUUGGAACCUGACAGAGAAGAGGAUUCUUCUAGCUGUGUUGAUAUUCAAGAAGUUCUUUCUUCAUCAGAAUCAGAUUCAUGCAAUAGUUCCAGUUCAGACAUCAUAAGAGAUCUUUUAGAAGAAGAGGAAGCCUGGGAAGCAUCACAUAAAAACGAUCUUCAAGACACAGAAAUAAGUCCAAGACAGAAU
rnacentral:sRNA from 1 species